rnacentral:rRNA from 1 species
CCUACGGGAGGCUGCAGUGGGGAAUAUUGCACAAUGGGGGAAACCCUGAUGCAGCGACGCCGCGUGAGCGAUGAAGUAUUUCGGUAUGUAAAGCUCUAUCAGCAGGGAAGAAAAUGACGGUACCUGACUAAGAAGCCCCGGCUAACUACGUGCCAGCAGCCGCGGUAAUACGUAGGGGGCAAGCGUUAUCCGGAUUUACUGGGUGUAAAGGGAGCGUAGACGGCGGUGCGAGUCAGAUGUGAAAGCCUGGGGCUCAACCCCGGGACUGCAUUUGGAACUGUGCUGCUAGAGUGUCGGAGAGGCAGGCGGAAUUCCUAGUGUAGCGGUGAAAUGCGUAGAGAUUAGGAGGAAUACCAGUGGCGAAGGCGGCCUGCUGGACAAUGACUGACGUUGAGGCUCGAAAGCGUGGGGAGCAAACAGGAUUAGAUACCCGAGUAGUC